ACUUCCUUGGUAACGUAGCCAACGCGUGAAGUUGACCGCCUGGGGAGUACGGCCGCAAGGUUAAAACUCAAAGGAAUUGACGGGGACCCGCACAAGCGGUGGAUGAUGUGGAUUAAUUCGAUGCAACGCGAAAAACCUUACCUACCCUUGACAUGGCAGGAACUUUCCAGAGAUGGAUUGGUGCUCGAAAGAGAACCUGCACACAGGUGCUGCAUGGCUGUCGUCAGCUCGUGUCGUGAGAUGUUGGGUUAAGUCCCGCAACGAGCGCAACCCUUGUCAUUAGUUGCUACGAAAGGGCACUCUAAUGAGACUGCCGGUGACAAACCGGAGGAAGGUGGGGAUGACGUCAAGUCCUCAUGGCCCUUAUGGGUAGGGCUUCACACGUCAUACAAUGGUCGGUACAGAGGGUUGCCAAGCCGCGAGGUGGAGCCAAUCCCAGAAAACCGAUCGUAGUCCGGAUCGCAGUCUGCAACUCGACUGCGUGAAGUCGGAAUCGCUAGUAAUCGCGGAUCAGAAUGCCGCGGUGAAUACGUUCCCGGGUCUUGUACACACCGCCCGUCACACCAUGGGAGUGGGUUCUACCAGAAGUGGCUAGUCUAACCGCAAGGAGGACGGUCACCACGGUAGGAUUCAUGACUGGGGUGAAGUCGUAACAAGGUAGCCGUAAAGGG
rnacentral:rRNA from 1 species